AUUGAACGCUGGCGGCAUGCCUAACACAUGCAAGUCGAACGGUAACAGGCCCUUCGGGGUGCUGACGAGUGGCGGAUGGGUGAGUAAUACUUAGGAAUCUACCCUGUAGUGGGGGACAACCCGGGGAAACUCGGGCUAAUACCGCAUACGCUCUACGGAGGAAAGCGGGGGACCGCAAGGCCUCGCGCUAUUGGAUGAGCCUAAGCCCGAUUAGCUAGUUGGUGGGGUAAUAGCCUACCAAGGCAAUGAUCGGUAGCUGGUCUGAGAGGACGACCAGCCACACUGGGACUGAGACACGGCCCAGACUCCUACGGGAGGCAGCAGUGGGGAAUAUUGGACAAUGGGGGAAGCCCUGAUCCAGCCAUUCCGCGUGA
rnacentral:rRNA from 1 species